AACUUUUAACGGUGGAUCUCUUAGCUCCUGCAUUGAUGAACAACGCAGCCAGCUGUGCUAGGUUGUGUGAACUGCAUAAUUCAGUGAAUCACCGAAUCUUUGAACGCAAAUGGCGCUCUCGGUUAUACCGUGAGCAUGUCCGUCUGAGUGUUG